rnacentral:rRNA from 1 species
CGGAUAAGGGCGGUCUCUUUGCUCCUCAUGCUCGUCUGUUGGGAGCUCUGGAAUGAGAGGAACGCUAGAGUUUUUAGAAGCAAGUCCUCUCUGCCUUCUUUGCUAAUUAACAACAUCCACUUGGAGGCUAAAAAUUGGGUACUUGCGUGGGCAAAACAUUUGGGCUCUCUCAUGCCGCGAGAGUAG